rnacentral:rRNA from 1 species
GUGAUUCCGCUCGUACCCUAAACCGACACUGGUGGUCUGGUAGAGUAUACCGAAGCGAUCGGGCGAAUCCUGGCCAAGGAACUCGGCAAAUUACUCCCGUGCCUUCGGCAUAAGGGAGACCCCUGAUGGUGAUGUUUUUUACAAGCGGAGCUGUUGGGGGUGGCACAAGCUAGGGGGUAGCGACUGUUUACCAAAAACACAGGAGCGUGCGAAGGCGUAAGCCGCUGUAUACGCUCUGACGCCUGCCCGGUGCCGGAAGGUUAAGAGGAUCCGUUAGCUUCGGUGAAGCGGUGAAUUUAAGCCCCGGUAAACGGCGGUGGUAACUAUAACCAUCCUAAGGUAGCGAAAUUCCUUGUCGGGUAAGUUCCGACCUGCACGAAUGGCGUAACGACUUCCCCACUGUCUCGGCCAGGAGCCCGGCGAAAUUGCAGUACGAGUAAAGAUGCUCGUUAAGCGCAGAAGGACGAAAAGACCCCGGGACCUUUACUAUACCUUGGUAUUGUCGUUAGGUGUGGAUCGUGUAGCAUAGGCGGGAGGCUGUGAAGCGUGGGCGCUAGCUUGCGUGGAGUCGACAGGUGAAAUACCGCUCUUUCCAUAUCUGGCGUCUAACCUCGACACGUUAUCCGUGUCAGGGACAGUGCCUGGCGGGUAGUUUAACUGGGGCGGUUGCCUCCUAAAGAGUAACGGAGGCGCUCAAUGGUCCGCUCAGCCCGGUUGGCAAUCGGGUGUUGAGUGUAAUCGCACAAGCGGGCUUGACUGUGAGACUGACGGGUCGAGCAGGGACGAAAGUCGGAGAUAGUGAUCCGGUGCCGGCGUACGGACGUGGCAUCGCUCAACGGAUAAAAGGUACCCCGGGGAUAACAGGCUGAUCAUUCCCAAGAGUCCAUAUCGACGGGAUGGUUUGGCACCUCGAUGUCGGCUCGUCGCAUCCUGGGGCUGGAGCAGGUCCCAAGGGUUCGGCUGUUCGCCGAUUAAAGCGGCACGCGAGCUGGGUUCAGAACGUCGUGAGACAGUUUGGUCUCUAUCCUCUGCGCUCGUUGGAAUGUUGAGGAGACCUGCCCAUAGUACGAGAGGACCUGGGUGGACGAACCUCUGGUAUGCCGGUCGUCACGCCAGUGGCGCUGCCGGUUAGCUACGUUCGGAAGGGAUAACCGCUGAAAGCAUCUAAGCGGGAAGCCUGCUCCAAGAUAAGCAUUCCUUGCACUUUAGUGUGUGAGCCCCCAUGUAGAACACGUGGUUGAUAGGCUAGAUGUGGAAGCCCUGUAAGGGGUGGAGCUGACUAGUACUAACGGGCGAUGGUGACA